AUUGAACGCUGGCGGCAUGCCUUACACAUGCAAGUCGAACGAAGGCUUCGGCCUUAGUGGCGCACGGGUGCGUAACGCGUGGGAAUCUGCCCUUGGGUUCGGAAUAACAGUGGGAAACCGCUGCUAAUACCGGAUGAUGACGUAAGUCCAAAGAUUUAUCGCCCAAGGAUGAGCCCGCGUAGGAUUAGCUAGUUGGUGGGGUAAUGGCCCACCAAGGCGACGAUCCUUAGCUGGUCUGAGAGGAUGAUCAGCCACACUCGGACUGAGACACGGCCCAGACUCCUACGGGAGGCAGCAGUGGGGAAUAUUGGACAAUGGGCGAAAGCCUGAUCCAGCAAUGCCGCGUGAGUGAUGAAGGCCUUAGGGUUGUAAAGCUCUUUUACCCGGGAUGAUAAUGACAGUACCGGGAGAAUAAGCUCCGGCUAACUCCGUGCCAGCCGCCGCCGUAAGAC
rnacentral:rRNA from 1 species